rnacentral:rRNA from 1 species
AUGAACGCUGGCGGCGUGCUUAACACAUGCAAGUCGAACGGGGAACAAAUUAUUGAAGCUUCGGCAGAUYUAGCUUGUUCCUAGUGGCGGACGGGUGAGUAAYGCGUGGGUAACCUGCCUCACACUGGGGGAUAACAGUCAGAAAUGGCUGCUAAUACCGCAUAAGCGCACAGUACCGCAUGGUACAGUGUGAAAAACUCCGGUGGUGUGAGAUGGACCCGCGUUGGAUUAGCUAKUUGGCAGGGCAGCGGCCUACCAAGGCGACGAUCCAUAGCCGGCCCGAGAGGGUGAACGGCCACAUUGGGACUGAGACACGGCCCAGACUCCUACGGGAGGCAGCAGUGGGGAAUAUUGCACAAUGGGGGAAACCCUGAUGCAGCGACGCCGCGUGAAGGAAGAAAUAUCUCGGUAUGUAAACUU